GUUAAUUUAUAUAUUACUUUUAUUUAUUUGUUGGCAAGUAUGUUUAUAGAAAUAACUUUUUUAUUAGUAAGUUUUAUUGAAAUUAUUGUUUAUAGUGAUAGUUUAUUGUACUGUGAAGGAUUUUUUUUUAUUAUUUAUAAGCAGAUUUUUUUUAUCGUACCUUUUGUAUCAGGGUUUAUUAAAUAUACAUUAAUUAUUUAUUAAUUUUCCCGAAAUUAGAAGAGAUAUUUUUUUAUGCUAGUUUUUGUGACAAAACAAUUAUUGAUUUAAAAAUAGGGGUGAUAUGCUAUUCAGUUCUAAAUAUCUGGUUAUUCAAUAAAUUAAUUUAAUUAAUAACAAUGAUUUGUUACUCUAAAAUUUGAUUUUAUGUAAUUUUAUUGUUAAAUAUUAUAGGGGAUAAGCUCUAUAAUAGUUCUAUAACUGUUUUGGGUUAAUAAAAUUUUGUAGGCUUGAUAACAGCCGUUAUUUAUUUCGUUAUAGUUAAUUUUUUUUUUGUAUUUAUUUAUUAAUUGGUUUAGGUAUUUAUUGAAUUUUUUUAUUUAAUUUUAUUUUAUAAGUAAUAAUGAUAGUAUUAGUAGUUUUGUAUAUUUAAAUAUAGUAAUUCGGCAAUUUUAGUUUUCGCCUGUUUAACAAAAACAUGUCCUUUAGAUUAUUAAUUUAAGGUCUGGCCUGCCCAGUGGUUUAUUAAACGGCCGCAGUAUAUUGACUGUGCAAAGGUAGCAUAAUCAUUUGUCUUUUAAUUGGAGGCUCGUAUGAAUGGUUGGACGAGAAACUAACUUUCUUUAUUUAAAUUUUAUGAAUUUGAUUUUUGAGUUAAAAAGCUUAAAUUUAUUUGCAAGACGAGAAGACCCUAUAGAAUUUUAUUUUGGUUAGGUAUUAUUAUUAUUUGUUUAUAUUUAUUUUAAUUUUUGAUUAGAAUUUUGUUGGGGCGACAGUGAAAAUUGAUUAACUUUCACUUGUUAUUUAUUCAUUAAUUAGUGUAUUUUUUGAUCCUAAGUUUUGGAUUAUAAGAUUAAAUUACCUUAGGGAUAACAGCGUAAUUCUUUCGGAGAGUUCUUAUCGAUGAAUAGAGUUUGC
rnacentral:rRNA from 1 species